CCUACGGGUGGCAGCAGUGGGGGAUAUUGCACAAUGGGCGGAACCCUGAUGCAGCGACGCCGCGUGGGUGAAGGAGUGCUUCGGCAUGUAAAGCCCUAUUGGCAGGGAAGAAGCAAGACGGUACCUGACUAAGAAGCUUCGGCUAACUACGGGCCAGCAGCCGCGGUAAUACGGAGGGGGCGAGGGUUAUCCGGAUUCACUGGGUGUAAAGGGAUCGUAGACGGCCAUGCAAGCCAGGGGUGAAAGCCCGGGGCGCAACUCGGGGACUGCCGUUGGAACUGGAUGGCUGGAGUGCGGGAGGGGCAGGUGGAAUGCCUGGUGUAGCGGUGAAAUGCGUAGAUAUCGGGAGGAACACCGGCGGCGAAGGCGGCCUGCUGGCCCGCGACUGACGUUGAGGCUCGAAAGCGUGGGGAGCGAACAGGAUUAGAUACCCGGGUAGUC
rnacentral:rRNA from 1 species